GACACUGACCUGCUUCCGGGGCCGGGUGCUCCCCUCCUGCUUGGCCACUCUUGGACUUGAGAUCAUAAUUUCCUUCUUCUUGGUUCUUUCCUGAGGAAUUGCUGUCUAUGGAAGGUAGAUACAUAAAGAAGUCCACUGGUUGAUAUAAAUGACGUUUUCUAAAGAUGUAAACAAGGAAAGAGGGUCUCAAAAUCCCAUGGAACUAGCCCUUGAAUUGCUCUAAAGAAACAAUUCUCUAAGUCAAGCAAGGAGGACACUGCAGGAUGUGCUAAACGUACAGUGAAGGGAACCAAGACUCCAAGGGAAAACGCCACAGAUUGCCAAGAGGUGAAGGCUGUCGCCACCGAGCCCUCUACCUCUGAGUCCAGUCAAGGUCCCUGCCUGAUAAGACCAUGCACUGACUCACAGUUUUGACAGAAGUCUUCAUCAGACCCGUCGGGACACUGCCUCACGCCAUCACAAGCCAACGCUAUGUCAAUACAGCAGCCACUGUCACAGAAGAAAUGGUAGCGCGAGCAAGCACUGGAGCAUCCUGUUUGUGAACAAGUCUCAGGGACUGACAAUGAAGGACAUUACAGAAAACCACUUCCCAGAAACAUCAGUUUUUGUUAGCAAGAACAGCAAGAGUCACCUUCAUGUCCACUGACGAUGGGUCACCCUGCUGCAGCGUCCACUCAUAAAGGACAAUGGCGUGGUCGUCCGAGCUUUCUCGACCAUCUAGAACUACCCCGUCUGUGGGCAGAUGUAAAACCACAUCCUUCCCAGCCUUGCUAACGGGAGGCUUGUCCUCAUCUGUGAAAGAGAAGAGACAGGAGAGGCAUGCCUCUCUGAUUCCCCAGCUGAUGAACAGCAAUAGCUUGUCUGUAGAUUAGUCCAUC
rnacentral:lncRNA from 1 species